CUAGAGUAGUGAACUUUGUCGAAGGUCAAGAAGUUUUCCGCAGGAAUUUUAAGCAAAGUAAUUUUGCCGAGGGCUACAACGCCAAGCUUGCCCCAAGAGUAAGGAAAAAGUUGGGUGACACUUACUAUGCUCUGGAAGACAUGCAGGGAAAAUUUUUGGGCAAAUAUCAUGCCAAAGACAUACGGCAAUAACUGGCUACACGCGGGAUCAGUCCUGGUUACUCUGUGAUCCCCAGUCUGAUUUUGGCAGGGGGUAUUUGUAAGUGCGCGUGUACCAGUAAUGUAUCUGGGUUUCGGAUAGCCUGGACCAGCACCUAUGGUUGCUUAGCAACAAUGUUUUUGCGGAUGCUUAGCAACAUGUCUCUUAAGAACAUCUGGGAGAAACAAGGCAACAUGCUGCGCUCCUAGUAGGUCCGGAAAAACUGUGGCUGUGUGAGUUGCUAGGAGAGACUGAUCGAGAAUAAGGAGAAAAAGAUUUUCGCGCCUCUCUGUGGGCAAACGGCGGAGUGGUGGAAUCGCGGUUUGGUGGCGUCUUGCAGGGGGUAUAAAAGGCGGUCCGCUGGCGUCAGCCGCUCAUAGCAAGUGAGACUCUAAGUGCAAUUUCAACUUAGACAUUUCGAACUUAAUCCCGUGAGGAGUGAUUCAAGCCCCUUGCAACAGCAGUGGCUCAAAGGCGGCAAGCGACAGCGACGCGGAAGAGCGAUCUCGGAGCACCACGACGAGUAUUGCCAAAGAGGGUAGCUCUACCACGGCGGCGAGCCUGGAUUGUGGCAACCACACCCAAGAGUUGGCGCAAGCAAACCACGGCGCUUCUAAGCGCCAAUCAACAAAGAGAAUUGCACAGGCGCAUUUGUUUGUUUAGCGCAAGCGUUUUUUUUUGGAUCAGCCGCCAGCGGCAAGGCCGUAUCGAGGUUUUCCCUCAAACGCGGCGUUCCACAGGGCAGCACACUGUGCUUUUCCUUAAUGUGAUGAAAACACUGAAAUCCACCAAUUAAUAUUCCUGACCACCUGAAGAAGGUCAACAUGAUUAGUUAAAUGCACUUUAUUUUUAUUGUCAUUAUUUUUAUUUAAACCUGAGUCCAAUAACUCCAAGAAACACAAAAGAACAGUCGGUCAUAUAGACGAACAAAACGAACAACAAAGAUUAUGCGCGAGGUUUGUUAGGAGGGCGAUAUUUUCCAAUAUAUUCACAGGUGCGGCAACCUCUUUGGAAUCGCUUUCAUCGGAGGAUGCGGCACAACUUUACGUGAGUUAAACUUUCAUUUAAUUUAAACACCUAAACGCGAACGGCGAAAUAUUCGCAAAAAAAAACCCCGCAGGGCAAACUAGAGCGCACCGUCGCAAAGAAACGCGAGAAGUAAAUGAAAAGAAGAUAAGAACGUAGUCGCCCGCUAGCAUCCCUCCCUUUCCCCCUUACCACCACUUGGGCGCACAAGCAGCGGCGUCAGAGCUCGCUAGCAGUCGCGCAUGCGCGCCUGGUAUCGCAUCCCGGCCAUUGCCGAGGGAUUUUUAUGUUUGUAGUUUUGGUUCUAUCAGAUCCACAAAUGCUUUUGUUGUUUUGAUUUAAUUUGCUUUGAUAUAUUCUGCGUGUAGUUUCUUUUGGCAGCGCUGACUGCAGUCGCUGCGCGACAAAUUUACGAUUUGCGAAUGCAAUCCAGGGCUCAAUUAAAGCUUUAAA